rnacentral:lncRNA from 1 species
UUAUUGUGUAGAAAACUCAAGCUUACUAUCUCUAUUUAUAUUAAUACUUCAAUUCUAUUUUCUUUCUAAUAUCCAAUGGAAAACUUUGAUGAAUAUACUAUUUGAUCCAACAAUAAAUCUUAUUGUUAUGAAAAAAUAUUUUGUCUCUCCACGCUGUAUUUGUGCACUAAUCGAUACUCCUUAUACAUAUCUUGGACAUAUCAAAUAUAUGC